rnacentral:rRNA from 1 species
GAUGAACGCUGGCGGCGUGCCUAAUACAUGCAAGUCGAGCGAACGGACGAGAAGCUUGCUUUUCUGAUGUUAGCGGCGGACGGGUGAGUAUCACGUGGAUAACCUACCUAUAAGACUGGGAUAACUUCGGGAAACCGGAGCUAAUACCGGAUAAUAUUUUGAACCGCAUGGUUCAAAAGUGAAAGACGGUCUUGCUGCCACUUAUAGAUGGAUCCGCGCUGCAUUAGCUAGUUGGUAAGGUAACGGCUUACCAAGGCAACGAUGCAUAGCCGACCUGAGAGGGUGAUCGGCCACACUGGAACUGAGACACGGUCCAGACUCCUACGGGAGGCAGCAGUAGGGAAUCUUCCGCAAUGGGCGAAAGCCUGACGGAGCAACGCCGCGUGAGUGAUGAAGGUCUUCGGAUCGUAAAACUCUGUUAUUAGGGAAGAACAUAUGUGUAAGUAACUGUGCACAUCUUGACGGUACCUAAUCAGAAAGCCACGGCUAACUACGUG